rnacentral:lncRNA from 1 species
UUUGAUCCUCUUUUCUCAUUUAUUCUAUAUUUUAUUCAUUCUUGCUUCAGUGGUUACCUUUAUAUCCUUAACAAAGCACAACUUCUUAUCUCAUAUUCAGAAAUCCUCCUCCUUCACUUAGAAGCCCUGAUCCUGGGAAGACAUGAGAGUCCUUUGGAACUGUCUUGAGUCACCAACCAAAGUUGGAUCAUUCAGGUGUUUCCAGUCUUCCAGUCCUGUUUUUGGCUUCGUUUUCUCAUUGGUGGAUCAAACCUGGGAGGUGACAGCUUUAUCUGGUGCUUUGAUAUCAUUAAGUUUCAUUUAUGUGAGAGACACAAAGGAGUUUGCGCAAGUCACACCCUUGCCAUAUCUAAUUAUAUUAAACUCACUUCACAGUGGAAGCAGUAGUGACCAAAACAGAGCAAGGACGGAAAGAAGGAGAACUUCUUCAUUAUUUUACCUUCUCUUGCAAAUGAGCAAUCUCCAAAUGUUUCCAUUGUCUCUGUUAAAUAGGGACAUGGCUUCAUAUGGGGAAAAAGAUGGACAGUGUGCAUAA